AUGAGAUGGGCCCGCGUCUGAUUAGCUAGUUGGCGGGGUAACGGCCCACCAAGGCAACGAUCAGUAGCCGACCUGAGAGGGCGACCGGCCACAUUGGGACUGAGACACGGCCCAAACUCCUACGGGAGGCAGCAGUGGGGAAUAUUGCACAAUGGGGGAAACCCUGAUGCAGCGACGCCGCGUGAGCGAUGAAGUAUUUCGGUAUGUAAAGCUCUAUCAGCAGGGAAGAAGAUGACGGUACCUGACUAAGAAGCCCCGGCUAACUACGUGCCAGCAGCCGCGGUAAUACGUAGGGGGCAAGCGUUAUCCGGAUUUACUGGGUGUAAAGGGAGCGUAGACGGCGGUGCAAGCCAGAUGUGAAAGCCCGGGGCUCAACCCCGGGACUGCAUUUGGAACUGUAUGGCUGGAGUGUCGGAGAGGCAGGCGGAAUUCCUAGUGUAGCGGUGAAAUGCGUAGAUAUUAGGAGGAACACCAGUGGCGAAGGCGGCCUGCUGGACGAUGACUGACGUUGAGGCUCGAAAGCGUGGGGAGCAAACAGGAUUAGAUACCCUGGUAGUCCACGCCGUAAACGAUGACUACUAGGUGUCGGGCAGCAAAGCUGUUCG
rnacentral:rRNA from 1 species